rnacentral:rRNA from 1 species
GGUAACACUGAAUGGAGGACCGAACCGACUUACGUUGAAAAGUGAGCGGAUGAACUGAGGGUAGCGGAGAAAUUCCAAUCGAACCUGGAGAUAGCUGGUUCUCUCCGAAAUAGCUUUAGGGCUAGCCUCAAGUGAUGAUUAUUGGAGGUAGAGCACUGUUUGGACGAGGGGCCCCUCUCGGGUUACCGAAUUCAGACAAACUCCGAAUGCCAAUUAAUUUAACUUGGGAGUCAGAACAUGGGUGAUAAGGUCCGUGUUCGAAAGGGAAACAGCCCAGACCACCAGCUAAGGUCCCAAAAUAUAUGUUAAGUGGAAAAGGAUGUGGCGUUGCCCAGACAACUAGGAUGUUGGCUUAGAAGCAGCCAUCAUUUAAAGAGUGCGUAAUAGCUCACUAGUCGAGUGACACUGCGCCGAAAAUGUACCGGGGCUAAACAUAUUACCGAAGCUGUGGAUUGUCCUUUGGACAAUGGUAGGAGAGCGUUCUAAGGGCGUUGAAGCAUGAUCGUAAGGACAUGUGGAGCGCUUAGAAGUGAGAAUGCCGGUGUGAGUAGCGAAAGACGGGUGAGAAUCCCGUCCACCGAUUGACUAAGGUUUCCAGAGGAAGGCUCGUCCGCUCUGGGUUAGUCGGGUCCUAAGCUGAGGCCGACAGGCGUAGGCGAUGGAUAACAGGUUGAUAUUCCUGUACCACCUAUAAUCGUUUUAAUCGAUGGGGGGACGCAGUAGGAUAGGCGAAGCGUGCGAUUGGAUUGCACGUCUAAGCAGUAAGGCUGAGUAUUAGGCAAAUCCGGUAC